GUCAAACAGCUGAAAAUCAUCAUUGUUAUUUUCCACAGCGCAAGAGCAAGAGCUCCCGAAACAACAUGCAUGCAUGCGAUGCGAGCAGACGAGAUCGAUCGUGUUGGCCUACGCACUAACCUGACGGCGUAAUUGGAGCUGAAGUAAGUUUACUAGUACUACGAAUGCGAAAAUUUGGUCACUGAUAAAUAUUGAUAUCAAAGCAUUAGCAAUGAUUGCCACAGGAGGACCAGGCAUUGGAACUAUGCACUAAAACAUGAGGCAGAAGUCAACCACCUGGGACAUUGAUGCUGCACCCUUCCGACGAAAUCACCAUGAAGAAGUUAACGUUGAAACUGGAUGCGAUUUGCGCAAAGCUGAAGGAGGGACUUGCCGGACCUCUGGCGGAUGGCGCACCCAUCAACGGUGUGUCACUAGAGUGCCGGGGUGUCCCCGUCACGGAACAUUACUCAUCUUCUUCUCCCAGGAAGGAGAUCUUGAACGGGUCUGAGAGUGGCGUCUCGCCCUGUCUAAGCGCCAAUGAGCUGGACAGCGAAUCUGUGAACAGUCAGGAUGAAGGGAACGAGGAAAAUGGGUUCCUGGACACAGACACACCCAUGAAGACAGGCCUGCUCAAUGGCCAUGUGGACACAACCAAGGUACUCAGUGGUGCAAGCAAGCGUAAGGCCAGGCUAAAACUGGCUCCCCGCCGUUUCUUGGACUCGACAGAUUCUCACCUGCCGCAUGAGAACGGCUACUCAGACUCACCACUGGUGGACAGAACAUAUCCGAGAGGUGCGGGGUCUUCAAAGACAAUCAAUGGAGGAUGCAGCAACAAAUCUCAGGGAAGUAACACAAGCGAUUCAACCUCUAUGCAAAUUUCUUUGUCUCGUCGGGACCUGGACCUGGACUAUCAAGGCAAUAAUUAUUUUCACAGAUCAGCAGCCGACGGCACCCUCAGUGACCCAUCAAGCCCAGGCGGUGAACAAGGGCAGGAUGCCACACCGCUUUGGUACGCAGACGAUUCUCCAAGCGAGAACAGUGAUUACUUGGACAUCUACCCAGAGGAAGACGGGGACGAUGAGGACAGUUUGGGGGAGCUAGACACAGCUCCUAACCCAGCAAACUUGAGCAAUCUGAAAGCAAUACAGGAGUAUGCCGAGCGGAGCUUGACGGAGGACCAAACGGGUCAGCCGAUUGAGGAGGGCCUGGCUACAAACGACGUCAUCUGUGAACUUGCCGAGGAAGGGGGAGCAGAGGAGGCAGAACCCUCGUCAGUGAUGCAGGAGGAGAUGGAAAGGCCCUCCCUAGACACAAUGAGCAAAAACACCAAUGACAAUGACGAGGACAAAGAUGAUGAAGAUUACGCUGUCCCAACAGACUCUAGGCCCAUCCCCUUGAAGAUACCUGUCAUUGGCAAAAGGGACAAGCAUGGAAAUCCGUACGACCCAUCAGCCGUGCAGGAGUACGCCAGUGACACCAUGAAUGAACUCAUAGGAAUGUACGGGUUUGAGGAGGGGUCCAAUCCAGACAUUGCAAAGGAUGUGCCAUUAGAUUCUUUCAGCUUUAAAAAUAUACAGAAAAUGGAAGAGAAGAAUGCGAGUGAACGUAAAAAAGAUGCCCUCCAGAAGUACAUCCAUCGACACGCCAACCUCCAUGUCCCAGAUCUGACCCGGUUUCAUGGAGCACGCUCCAGCACCUCUCCAGAAGACACUGGUUCCCAAUUGCCUCUGAGUACCUGUGACAGUAGCGACAUCCCCAACCAGGGCAGUCUGCUCGGGAGUGAUGCCACGCCACAGUUGGCCUCGCAAGCUGGCGUCGGAGGCAAAGUGGCCUCGUUACCGCAGGCUAGCGAGCCUCAGUCUAAGAUGAGACUUGCCCCACCGUUGGGGAAGACAACAAAGACCGUGAAGGACCUCAUCAAUGAGCAGAAAGGGAGAGAAGAAGGGGCAGAGUUAGAGGAGGGGGAUGAAGAUUUCCGACCGCGACGGUUCUCCAAGUACGACUUCUUCAUUCAGAGCUUAGAAGCAGGUCAAGCGAUCGACUAUUCGGCCCAUCGCAUCUCCAAAUAUGACAGCUACAUCCGCAAGUUGAAAGCAGGUGAGGCCAUACACAAAGUCAUAGGUCGAAGGCAGAGCGCGUCGCAGAAGAUCCGGGACAUUAUUAGCACCCAGAUCCAUCGGAAGCAUGAACAGGGCAGUGAUGGGGCACCCGGAGAUGAAGAGGAGGAUAAUGAAAUAGUGAGUGAGAAGACAGCAGAAGCCUUCAAUCCUAUCGUCAACAACCACAUCAAGACCUCCAAGUAUGCCUCCAAGUACGACUACUUUCUCAACAAGCUCCGGAAAGGCGACGACGUCAACCCCUUCGAGAUCACCCUGUCUAACGCAGCCUCGACCUCCGGCUCUGAGACAACCUCAAACAGCGGUCCCUCACCGUCCACCAGCAGCCAUGGAGCACUGCUGGACUACACUGGCCAAGCGGGGGACCAGGGAAAUCUGGUCAUUACUGAGGAACCAGAGCAGCGCGAGCUAUCCUUUGCAGAAGGGACAGGCAAGAGGAACAUCUCCAAUGGCCUGGCCAAGAUGGUCAAAGAUGAGAUCACGCCGGGAGAGAUGAAUGUCUUCAGCAAGUACAUCUCAAGAUACUCUGGUUCAGCGCAUUGUGGCCAUCUGCAUUGUGUCUACCAAUACAAAGAACAUUACCAUUGCAACGAUGAAGGCUGCAAUUUUGCUAGAUUCACACGUAAGGAGGAUGUCGUCCGUCAUUAUAACUGGCACAAGAGACGCGAUAACUCCCUCCAGCAUGGCUUCAUGCGUUUCAGCCCCUCAGAUAACUGCAGUCCUUACUACCCAGAUUGCACCAUCAACCUCAAGCAUACCCACUACCAUUGCUUACAGAGUGGCUGCAACAAGGUCUACACUAGCACCUCCGAUGUCCUGACCCACGAGAACUUCCACAAGAAGAACAUGUCCCUCAUCAAUGAGGGCUUCCAGCGCUUCCGGGCCACGGAGGACUGCGGCGUGCCCACCUGCACCUUCUACGGCCAUAAGACCACACACUUCCACUGCCGCCGCCCAGGCUGCGACUUUGUCUUCAAGAAUAAGUGCGACAUCGAGAAGCACAAGACCUACCACAUCAAGGAUGACAUCUACCGCAAGGAUGGGUUCAAGAAAUUCAGCAAACACGAGAAAUGCAAGUAUAACUGGUGCAAAUACUCCAACAACACCAACCACUUCCACUGCAUCCGCAAGAACUGUGGCUUUGUCUUCACUGCGGCCAACCAGAUGCAGUCCCACAAGCGUAAGCACGACCGGCGCCAGCGCAUCCUGGAGUACGAGGCAGCCCGCCACCAGCGAGGGUUCUCGCUUCGGCUGAUCCGUCCCAAGCCAACCCCGAGCAUGUCCGCCCUGAAGCGCCUCCGAGACGUCCCUGAGACCGUGCUGAUACAGGCGGACGGAUCGGUGUUGCCCCAGCGAGUCAAGCCCCUGGACUACCUCUCGUCUCCCUCCAUGGUGGCGUCUACCUCCCAGUCAGCCCUCACCCCCAUCACUGUGGCCGGUAAUCCAACAACCACGACGACUGCAGAGACGGACAAGCUUCCAUCGGCUUUUGUCAGCAUCAGCUCAGGAGGAAUGGCUGAAGAGGAAGGACUGAGUGACUCCCUCAAUUUGCCGGUUGCCUCUCACAUUUCUCCUCCACAAAUAGAUCCUGGAAUGGGCAGGGAGUCAGUUACCUCUUCGUCCCCAGCCCCGCCAGCGGCAGCAGCAGCAGCAUGCAUCGCCCUGGCCACAGCGGCCAGUCAGAGCAAUGCAGCUCCCGGCCGUGCCGCUAGCAACACCUUCAGCAGCUCGGGUACCAAGGAGGGUAAACCGGAAGAACCCUGGCAGAAGUACCUCAAGAGGUUCACAGCCAAUGACCCCUGCCGACCUCGCUGUGAGCUGCUAUACAAAGAUCACUACCACUGCAAGGUGGAGGAUUGUGGGGCAGUCUACAAGUCCAAAGAGGGCGUUAACAAGCAUGCUAGAUACCACAUGCUAUCAGACGAAGCCAGUGAUUUGGGAUUCCAGUACUUCCAGCAAGGAGAGAGCUGCGAGGAGCUGUUUCCAGGAUGCUCAUUCAGUCCGCUGGCUCACUACCACUGCAUGUGGAGCUUAAAACCUGGCAUCUACUGUGGCGAGGUCGUCCACACUGGUAGCUCGCUCAUGAAACCUCACUAUGAGAAACACAAGAUGAACCCUGAGCUGGAAUCCAUUCACAUCUCAGCAGUCAGCUUCUCCGAGGCCCAAGCCCAGAGCACACUCAAGGCCCCGACCACCCUAGCUCCAGCUUCCAAAUCCACCGCGACUCACACCCAGAGCUGUGAUGCUAACGAGGUCCCCGGUUCGGUGCCGGUGACCGAUCUACUUCCGAGUACUUCCUCCCCGGGGGUGGCAUCAGGUGAAGGCUUCAUCACCUGCGAGCCCGACGUCUGCACGGUGGAAGACUGCCCACACCGAGCCAAGCACCACUACCACUGUACCCGGGGCGAUUGCCAGUUUGCCACUGAGAACCAGGACAUGCUGAGAGACCACAAGGUCAACGAGAGCGUCAUCUUCCAGAGCUUCCGGCAAAUGAGUCGUAAGAUGGACUGUCGCCGACCAGGCUGUAAAUACAACCUCCUCAACAAGCACUAUCACUGUCUUCAUCAGGGAUGCAAUUUCUCCUUCUUACAGAUUCAGCAGAUGGAGAGCCAUGGCCGGAAACACAUGAGACGCAUCUACGGCAAGCACUUCAACAAGCCCGGAGGCUCUCUGAUAGGUCCACAGCAGCUUGUCAUACCCAUGGUUUCGGCCAGCUCAGUACCCUUCUCGUCAGCUGUGUCCAACCAGAUUAUGUUCUCCAGUGCCGCGCCCAUCCUUACGCUACCCUCAUUGACACCGAGCGUGGUGCCCAGUAUGUCAUCAACUAAUGCAGCCAUCAUGAAUGCCGGCAGUCUUGGGUUGAUGAGUGUCGGAAACAUGGGGGUGGUCAAUCAGGUCGGAGUACCAAUCCAAAUGAUCAAUCCCACAGUUCCGACCAGUUCCUCCAAGCCAUUGCCGCCAUUCAUGAUCCCACUGUCACCACUUGACGACGAAGAUGUCAACGGUAACCAAGCACAGCCAAGCACCAGCCAGAAUUAUGACGACCUGGUUCAGCUCAAGUACCAAUCUCUGGCUCUGAAGAAUCCGGAGGCAGCGUAUGCCGGAAUGGUGCCGACAUCUCGUAAGCGGUCUCUAAAUUUGAUCGAGGAGGACCCAGGAGCCCCUUCGGGAUACAAGCGCUAUAAACGGGGACCUUUAGAUUCUAUGAUGAUGGACCGGUUCCGCCGCUUCGACCGCAGCGAGUCCUGUGGUGAGGACGCCUGUCAGUUCAACAUGACCACCACUCACUACCACUGCCUCCAUGAGGAUUGCACCUACCGCUUCGCCGGCAAGACCAUGAUGUACAAGCAUGCCCAGCACCACGACCGGGUCAACAGCAUCAUCCAGAACGACUUCCGGCGCUUCAAGGCCAACCACGAGUGUGAGCAGGACAGCUGUCCCUACCAAGGCAACAGCACCCACUUCCACUGCCUACGCUGCACCUUCGUCUGCACGGACUCGGGCAAGGUGGCGGUGCAUCGCAAGCAGCACGCCAAGACGGACACCAUCUCAGCGGCAGGCUUCAAGCAGUACAGCAGCGCCGAGCCCUGCGGCUUCAUGGGUUGCAAGUACACCCUGAGGUACUCCCACUUCCACUGCAAUAGAGACGGGUGCACGCAAGGUGUGAUCGGGAUGACUCAGAUGGAGACCCACAGACGGAGACACAUGCUCAAUGUACGCGUCUAGUGAGUCGGGAUGGCAGAUCAUGUGCAAUCCAAGGUGAAGUCAACUGGCACGAGUCGCAUUUCUCAUUGGUCACCCCUGUGCAUCAUAGAUACCUAGAUACUUUGGUUUGUUCCCUGUGAAUCAUAGGUGCAUCCCUAAGGCCCAUCUUAGGUACACUUCAGUUGCAUAGUAGGCACUCUUCAGAAGCAUUUGCGUUGUAUCUUAGGUGCAUAGUUUGGUUUUAUUGUAGGGGAAUGUAAGUCACAGAUGCAGUAUAAUGCAGUGUGCAUGACCGGUCGAUGUUCUAUCACAAAGUAGGUGCAUGCAGCCUAGUAGGUGCAUGCAGCCUAGUAGGUGCAGAAAGAUAAAUCACUCUUCUCACUUGGUGCCUUUAAGGUGCAUCAAGAUUCAGCAGGGUUGUGUUGAAAUGAAGCAGGACAGGCAAGAUGGUAGCCUGGGGUGGCAUUCGCUGCAUAGGUGGUCCCUCAAAAGCACAGGUGGAACAAGCUUGUUAGUGGCAAGUCUCGGGUGCAUCACAGGUGUGCCACAGGUGCAAGGUUGAACAUUUGACUGGUUCAUUUAGAAGUACCUCCCCAGCUCAUUGGAUAUGCCAUGUAACCUCCGCAGAAAAAUGAUGAAUUAUAGUAAUUUAAGGGGUCCCAGAAGCAUCAUAUUAACAACUCCCUACUGCCAUAAAGUUUUAUAAAAUAUGCACGAGAAGAUGACCUAUAGUACAAAAAUGUCUUCUCCAAUUAAUACAACCUUAAAUUAGAAAGUCGUAUAUGCAAGUAGUUUGUAAAGUUAUAAUGCCCUUAAAAGUGUUUCCACAUUGUGGCAGCUUAUUUUGAAGUAAUACAAACUCAAGAUUUGUUCCAGUUCUGACACAGGAAGAUUCCAGCAAUAUGUUUAAGUUUCAUGUCUAUCCGAUAGAAAGAGAAAUAAAGUCACAAUAUAUUUUGACAAACAAAGAGAUUUUUUUAUUUCGCAUCGUUGCACUGAGCAUAACUGUGCUUGUCUUCCUUCUGCACCAGAAUGUUUUAUUUUAUGGCUUUUAUUAUUUUAGAAACAUCCAAAGUGCCAACCGAAAGGCCUUCCUACAAAAAACCCAAAAAUAUGAGACAGUUUUUUAAUUACUUGCGGGAGUGUACAUAUCUCAAGGCAAGCAACACUUGGUAAACUAUAUUUGAUGAGCUCUCGAAAUGGAGACAUUACUUUAGCUGUGUUACUUUCCCUUUUUCUUUGUGAAAACUUAAUCAUGAGCAUGUAAAUUCCUGAAAAACAGGUCAUGUGACUGAUACCGGCAUCACACGACGAAUCUAUAUGAUGCAUCAUGUGAUAUUUGACAGAAUGAUUGGCCCUUAUGAUGUGUCAGAAAUUAUGGCUUCACUGGAAACGAAAAAGAUUGUCUAAAUGAUUGUUCAACUGUAGUAGACAAACAACGAAUCGAAAAAAAAAAUUAUAAUUGACUUGUUCUUGUCUCUGUAUCUUCAGUGAUGAUUAUGCUGUUGUACUUCUUGAAGUCUUUUAACAUAGAGCAAUAUGUACAAAUAAGUGUCAUGUGAAUUAAAUGUGAAUGGAUAAUGCUUAUCUUAGCAAUAACAUUGUACAGAGGAUUAUCAAGGCGAAACUGUAGACCGAUUGUAAAUAGUGUUAGCUGGAAAAGUUGAAGAAAAAUAACAGUAUUAAAGAGUGAUUUUAUUGUUUUAUCAAAAUCUAAUUAUUCUGAAACAAAAAUUAUAACCAACAUUGGAGAGAAGAAAAGUUUUAAGAGUUAUGCCUAUUAUUAGACUUGGAACAAUUUCCCCUCAAACCUGGUAUGCAAGAAUAGGUUGCAUUUAAUUUAAAGUUACCCAGUUUUCCUGCAUAUUGUGACAAUGUUUUGAAACUGCAUUGCUGAAGCAUCUUCCCAGCUGUCUCUGAAUACUACCAGACUUUCCAGCCACAACAGUUUGCUUGCAUCAGACAUUUGGUUUUCUGUGGGUCCAGAGGUUAUCAAGGAAGUGGUUAGCUUCCAAAAUUUUUCUAGCAAUUGGUCUGUGGGCAGAUAGCUUUGCUGCAAGAGCUGGUCUACUUUCAAAUUUAAAUCCAAAAGUACAUCAUGCUGUGUAUUUGGUUUCAGCUGACAGCAUUUAAUCGCAGACACAUACAUGCAUGUAAUCUUUAAGCGAUAACUCAACUUACUGUUUGUAUUGAGUAUUUAUGGCAUUUGCCAGAAAGAGCAAAUCAAAACAUUAAAUACUAUUUCUUCAAAGCAAUAACCCUUGUAUAAAUUGUAAAUCUUCUCCAAAUAUCUGAAUCUAAUUUUCUCUUUAUCAGUGUCAUCUGUAAUUAAUAACUCAAAAUUCUAUCUAUCAAAAAAUCUGUAAAGUAACUCUCUCUUCCACCUUAUUCAUUAAUCAAUGCAUAUUUUGUGAACUGUUGGCAAUCAUUGUCAUUGAAACCUUAGUAGUAAUAUUUUCUUCCAACUAUCAAUACUUGUACACUUUCUUGUUCCUUUUAAAUAACUCAUAACAUACUGAGACAUUGUGUAUGCGUAGUUUAGACACAGCAUUGUAGUACACAUAGUUUAGUCUUCCUUUGUGUUGUGCCGUUCUGGCUUCCAGAAAACUAAUCAAAUUUCAAGGAAUAUAUUCACCAAAAGUCUAAGAAUAUUCCCCUCCAAGUAGACAUUCACACUGAUCAAUGAUGUAGUGAUCUUUCUACUCUUUGGAUGGAAAGAUAAACCACAAGUACUUAAAUCCCCGAAAGAAACAUUUUCAUCAAUCAAAAUUUGAGAAUUGAAAACUAAAGUUAGACUAUUGUUGACCAAAACAGAGCCUAUCAUUUUGUACCGUAGUUAAUGUAUCUCUAUGCAAUGUUUGGUGAAUUUGUUCUCCAUUCGAUUUCUGGCAGUGUGACUGUUGUAAACCAACUUUCCCAGGGUGUUUUUGUACGUGUAUGUGUCAUUACUUGACAUUGUUUACACCAUUAUGUAACACACUACUAAUGAAUAUUUUUGAAAAUUUGCAAAAAAAAGAGGAAAAUAGUUCAAAAUAAAAAAAAAUCUUGGGCCCAAAUACCACUUUCAUUUUUCAUAUACUGAUUAGAAAUACCAGUUGAAUCAAGUGGAAUGCCAGCACCAGCUGUUUAAGGUAGAAUAUUUUUGGAUUUGCUAUCACAACUUCCUUUGAUUUCCUUUGAUCCUGUAGUGUGUCAUUUCUAUUGAAAUGUGGAUGCUAAUCUGACUCAUUGGUGAUAUUUAUGAUCCAGGUUAGAGACCACCACGGAAAAGAUGAUGAUCUCAUGAAUGCUUCCUGAACCUUGUGCAAAAAUGCAGGCACUUUCAAAAACAAUUUGGAUUUAUACUCAAGGGUUUGGGCAUUCUGCUUUGAUUAUUAUCAAAUGUGUAAACUUUCUUUUUAAGAAAAAGUUUUAUCCAACCAGGGUAUGUUAAACAAACGCAACCGGAUUUGAUAGUAGGGGAAGAACUCAGUUCCUUUGCAGCAUUUUUGGACUGUUUAGGUUAGAUCCCAAAAGGCAGUUUGAUAUGGUUUGGAACCAUGUGGGUUUUUUGUUGGUGAGAAAGUGUGUUUAGCCAGUGAAAGAACCAUUGUAAUGGAAUGUGUUACUGCCUCGAUCAUUUUCACUUUGUGAGUUUUUGGUCAAAAAAUGGCCUCGGACUGAAGUGCACAUAACUACAGAUUGCUGAACGUCAACCUUUGCUGUGAGGGUUCAGACACAAAAACUAGCACCCUGUUGUGGUCUGUGAUAGGUCAGUAUUUCUACACUCUAGUUUAAUGUUGUGGAGGUUUUGUCUAGACUACAUCCAAUCGCCCUCCCUGACUAUUAGAUUGCCCUUCCCCUAGUACCCUUCAUUUUGGCAUAUCUUCCAGAAAUACUUUGCAUUGGUGACGAUAUUGUAUACCCGUGUGGAAGUUGCCCAGUACGUGAUGUGGAAUGCGAAGUUAAUUGCUGUGAAAUGAAGUUAACACUGUGCUUUCAUUGGAAUAUUUCUGUAGAGCGUAACAUAAUGAAUAGAUGAAGUUUCUUACAUAUUUGUAAAGUUUUGAAUUUUAGAAUUGUUUACAUGAAAAUACACCAUAUAGCAUAAAGUUUCAAAUACAUAGUGUUGACAAUUUUCAUUGUAUAACUUCCCGUAGACAUACUGGAUAUUGCUUUUGCUAUGAUGUGUAAUUUAUUGUAGGUAUGGUCAACAAAUUUGUGAAUUAUUUUAUAAAGGAAACAAAAGUUGUAAAGUUAUGAUAGCAGCUUCCGACAGAUUCUAGUUGUACCGUACUCUGUGAAUUUGUAAAAUAUGUAAUUUUUUCCCCAGUUUCUCCACAAAUUGCAUGAGUGAUAAGAAUUAACAGUGUACAAGAGAGAUUUCUCUGAAAAUUAUCAUAAUCAUCACCAGUUGGACUGUUAAGUAUGUAUUCGGUGUUUUUGUUUACUAUAAUCCAUUAUAACUGUGGCGUGUGUGAUUUUAAUAUAGAGGAUUUUGUUGUGAACUUCCUCAUAUAUACCUGUAGUUAAUAUGUAAAUGCACAUUGUUGCCCAUAGUGAUUGGCCAGAGCUUUGAUGACAUCACGAACUAAGGUUGUGACAAUUGGUGGAAUGUAUGAUGAUGUCAUUAGUGUCAGAAACCAAAUCCUGCUAUUGGCUAGCAAGGCAUGGGGUUAACAAAACAGGGUUGUGAUUGGUUGAAGUGUAAAGGAUGUCACAGUCACUUUCUCAGAAUUUUCAAUCAGAUUUUUACCUUAUUUACAGGAAAACAAAGAAAAGAAAAAUACACUGAUGUUAAUCUGCUGUUGCGCUUAAUAAGUUGAGCACAAAGUCAGCAUUUAGUUUUUUCUGCACCAGUUGCAGCUUUUUUUUUGAGACCUCCAAUUUUGCUGCCUGUUAGGAAAAGGCCUGGCAGGUGUGACGUCUGUUUAUUGCAGUGCUAGCAAGUAUUUAUCCUUAAUAAUCACAGAGGAAUUUGUUAAAAAAAAGUGUGCAAAAAUGAUUUACAAGGUGUGCAUUCCAGUAGUACGUUAUCUGUAGCCGAGUUGUAGUUUACGUCUGUGUAUGCAGUGUUGAAUGUGUUUUUAAUGUGAUUUUUCUGCUUGAAAUUUAUUUGAAAAGUGAGUGGCAAUCAUGAAAGGGACAUUUUAAAAUAAAUGUUUCCCUUUUCUUUUCUGUUUUAGUAGUGCUUGAAAAAAUAUGAGUCAAUUGUAUGAGUUUUUUUUUGUUGGAAGUGCAAAUUACUUUAUCCAAUUCUUUUCUACGUGUCAUAGGAGUAGUGAUGUCAGUACUUUCGAUAUUCCUCAUGUAUGAGACCAGUUUGAUGAGACUUGAUUUUGAUUGAAUGUAUGUACAUGUAUAUGAUUUAGUUAGGCAGAAGUAGCAGAUACUUCAUGUGCUGUGCAUACAGCACCAUGCCAGCCUUGUUCUGUCAAAGCAUAGGGCUUACUUUCUGUUGAAGCCAUUAGCAUUAAGAGACCCAAGCUAAAGUGUUGCCUGGCUGGCGGAGCACUGAUUUCACAUUUCUGAAGUGAAUUAACGCUGGAUUGUUCUGGUUUAUAUCUGUGAAUGAAAAAUUCAAAUUGAAAAAAUUAGACUCUGACAAGAUUAUGUUUUUCUCUGAAGGGACAAUUUUAUUUAAUAGCUGCACAAGACUGUAAAAUACAUAUAAAAUUAUUGGUAUGCACAUGGAACACUUCUAGCAACAGGUGUAUUUGUUUUUAAUAAACUAAAAGUACAGAAUACUAACAUUGCUAUUUCCUUUUCAGAGUGAACCAUAAUUGAUAUUUCUCUUUAAAUCUCUCCUAUAUUUAAUUGAAUGUCUUCCCAGUCGAUUUUUUUUAAGUUGAAUAAACCAUAGAAACCAAGAAA
rnacentral:misc_RNA from 1 species